rnacentral:rRNA from 1 species
UACGUAGGGUCCAAGCGUUAUCCGGAUUUAUUGGGCGUAAAGCACAUGUAGGUGGGCUCACAAGUCUUUUCUUAAAGCUCCAAGCUCAACUUGGAAUCUGGACAAGAUACUGUGUGCCUUGUGGUCAGCAGGGGCAAACGGAAUUCCCGGUGUAGGAGUGAAAUCCGUUGAUAUCGGGAGGAACACCAAUGGCGAAGGCAGUUUGCUAGGCUGAUUCAGACACUGAGAUGUGAAAGCGUGGGGAGCGAACGGG